UAAGCUUCCACCACCAUCAUCCUUGCAGUUGGAGAGACCAUUCCUAAAAUAGCUAAUCAAGGUCAAAGUAGCUUGGCCAUGUAACAAGGACGCAUUCGGAGUAUGUAUCAUGGCCGAAUACCGCAAUACUAACCAAAUCGAGAAUUGAGUUCAAGAACCAAGCAGAUCUUGGCAUCGAAAAGGCAGAUGGAGUGUCUUCUAUCUCUUUUCUUCCAGAUAAUUGUGUUUCCUGAACCACCACAUCAAAGGAUUUCCUAAUAGCUUUCUCGGUGGCAGGAGGAUGCCAUGGACCAGAGGAAAACGAGGAUUCUCUUGAACUGCAGCCUGCAGAAGGAUUAGGCGUUAAAUCCUUUGUCACCUCCAAUAAGGCUCUCCAUUUUAAUGGUUGUGGAGGUUUAUUCUAGCAAUGGAAAGUUGUGUUGGAAGAUUGUCAAGGCUAGAUAUGGUGUUAUGGUGGGCGUUGGAUGACGGAGAUGCCUUCGGUACUGAAAGAAAGACUUGGUUGGUAGUAUUCAUCUCGUGCAUUUUGUAACUGGCAAUGGGCAAAGAUUGGGAUUUUUGGACAAUGUAUGAUAUAGUGACUCUGCUUUGCAAACGUGUCUUCUUACAAUCUUUUACUUAGCUUUUAAUUAAGUGAACGAUUGUAAUCAACCUUGUCAUAAACCUUUGGAGAUUGAGGAGUAUGGGAAUUAUAUUCCUGCCCCUGAGAAAGAUUCUACGGAUCUGGUAUGGAAAAUGCCCCAAUUUGGAAUGUUUCUAAGGAUGGAACUUGUUGUCAAAAUCUUGAUAUAUUGCUAAUUUCAGCUGGAUACUCUCCUUCACAGUUGGCCUGGAAAGCCUAUUUGGAAGUAGAAGGCUUCCCCUGGAGUUUCUUUCUUUAUCUAGGAAGCAACAUGGGAGUGUAUCCUUUACCAUGGGUAACUUCAGUAAGAGGAAGGCAUCAUUGCUAAUAGUUGUCUCUUUUGUUCUGCUAUUUCAAAUCCCUAACCAUCUUUUGUUGUGUCUUCAAGCGAGAAGGCUUCCCUUUCAGGAAUCCAGUGAGUGACGGGUGGAUCUAUUAGUAAUGUAGCUACUAUGCUGUUACGGUAAUCACUGUCAUGAUAGAAAGAAGAAGCUUGUAUCUCUUAUUCCUCAUGUCAUUUCUUGCACUAUUUGGAGAGAAAGGAGUAGGCGAUAGUUGGUCCAAAUUGUAAAUAUUUUGAUCCCUCUGCAACAAACCAAAAAAGUUGAGUAUUUUGUCUAAAGAUGAUUCUAUCCUCUAUCAGAACUCUUUUAGGUGAUAUUUUACCAGAGUUCCUCUUUUAAUUUUCUAAUUUAUGAGCCCAUAAAUGGGUGGCAACCCCUUUGUGCCUCUAGAAAUAUCUUUAUUUGUUUUUAAUAAAUUUUUACAUUUAAUGGAUAAUUUUUUCAUUUAUUUUUACCCAAUAUAUUCAGCCUCUUUGAGGAGAGUUGGGGAUUCCCACCCACUCUUGAGGUUUUUUUUUCUCUGCCUAUUUGAGAGUUUGGGUGAAGAAUAAAUGAUGUAAAGUGCUUUGGAGAAAGGCACCUUUUGCUGAGUGCUGGGCUUUGUGGUUGGAACACAAUCCACAACUUUUAAUUAAUGUGUUAAUCCUACAAAUGCUAUUUGGGGUAGAAUGAUCUGUAUAUAGCCUCUUAGGGGGCUAAGUGGGCUUGCCAUUGACUAUUUUGCAAAGUAAUUGGGAAACUGUCAUUAAAUAGUUUCCCAUUCAAUUUUUACAAAAUUUACCCCUUUUUCUUCUAUUUUUUUCCCCCCUUUUCUAACUUGUUUUCUUUCUUUAUAUAUGAUGAUACCUUGCCAUUUUUCUAUUGUUUUUCUCUUUCUUUCUUUUUCUUAAAAAAAAAAUGAAAAAGAAAAUAACCAUAAGUCAUUCUACUGGCGAACUACCAGUUUCAGCUGUAAACAAUGGUACUUUAUUAUUGUGGCAUAGCUUGUGUGGAGAUUAUGCAUGUUUGUUCAUGUGCAUUUUACUGUGAAAAUUCUUAUAGAAAUUAUAUUUCCGACAUCUUUUUAUUAUAUUUUAUUUAUUUAGAAAAUAAAUAAAAAAUACUCUAAAAGUUUCAAAACUCAUAAAUUUUAUGAAAAUAAUGGAUAAUAUUUAAAAUUGUUUGGACAUUUUGGAACCCAACCUGAAUGUUUGAUGCAUUGUUUGACACUGUUGCGUGCCACAAUGUCUUAUCCCUACUCUCACUUGUUUCUCCUCAUGCAUGUUGUAAUGCCAACCAAGUAUUUCCUUCAGAAAGGUGCAGGUUUAAUAUUCUCUUUCCUUUUUGAUCUGGUAAUAUAGUUGCAAUGCCUCCUUCUCACAGUAAUGUGUAAAUAUGCCAUCAAGCUCUCCUGUUCUUCUUUCCCUUGUUAUCUGGAGAAGUUAGUAGCUCCCUUCCUAUUCCCAUGUGUAGUGGUAGAAUCGGCCCAGCCUCCUAUAUGGAAAUCCAAUAUCUUGAACUGGACACUGAAAUAAUGUGGUGAGGGAAGUGGCGUUGUGAGUUUGAUGGGGGAAUAGUGCUGACUGGAAGGAGAGUAUUUACAAUUCUGUGCUUUUUCCUUUUUUAAGGAUAAUUUGAUAAUUGUAAAAUUAUUAAAAAAAGUACACUCUUAAAAUACAUUUUCUAUUGUAGAGCUCAGAAAGCCAUUAGAAAAAUUCUGUCUUGGGGGAUUCUGUUGGAGGUUAAUUAAGCUGAAGAUGAAUUUAUCUAGAAUUAUCUUUUUCUGCAAUGGGAGGGGAGUCGUGAUUAGGAGGAUUUUAACUGAUGAAAAUCUAAGAAAAGAAGGGGAAGAUAUAAUGUUAUCUUUAUUAUGGGUGACUGAGACUUGAUAUCAUUCUGGUCAGUGGUUUCAGGAUAAGCUCCAAGUGUGGGAAGGUAUCCGGGCAAUAAUAGAAGGAAAAAACUUAUUUUGUUUCACACUAUUGGAUAUCUAAAAGACAAGCAAUGGAAAGGGUUUCAGACGAUGUUGCAGCCUCUUCUGGUAGACUUGGGCAUAUACGGUUCUAGACCUUCUGUUUCUUGUUUAAGGGUUAUCUUUUUUCUUCUACAUAGGACUUGGGAAAGUUCAUUGAUCUCAUUUGUAUUAUAUUCCUCAUUUUUCUAAAUGCGGGCAGCACUCUCUUAAUUUGCUGUUGGUGCAUCUCUUUUGGGGUCCUUCUAGAAAUGCGUAAUUAAGCUGAAACAAGAAGGGUAUGUACAAAUUAAUGUCGGAGUUCGAAAACACUAGUGUGAUAAAGUUGACAGGGUGUCACAUGACGUGUCUAUGGCAAGGAUCUAUCCACUAUAAGUGUGCCAUUAUGGUAUCUUUCUUGAGUUAAUGAGUAUAAAUGGUCGGAACCCUAAUUUCCUUUGAGAUUGAGAAAACAAGAAAAGGAGGAGAUGGAGCGGAGAGGUGGCGGUCGAUAUGAUCUUCGUCCAUUGGUGCAAUCCUCAUCAAUGUCAGAAAGCACAAGGCUAAAAGUGCUAUUUCACUCUUCAUCACUUGGGAUACCAUGGAUGAUAGGAAUAAAAGAACUUUCAAUAGGGUAUAAAGCCCUUUUCAUGGGACAGAUAUCUUUGAUUGUGUAUCAUAUUCUUUUGAUUACUUGCCACACUUUUGCCAGCGACGAAGAGUUUGGUUUUGUGGGUGUCAUAGAGCUUUUAUCUUGUAAGGUAAUCAUUUGUUCAUGGGUGACACCUUCUUGGUGCUUUCAUUCAACAUGUGGCUUUAGAAACGUAAUGUUGUGUUUAUUGCACAAAUGAAUUCCAUAUGCCUGCAGAAUCAACAAUGCCUUGAUUGACAUGGAUUGUUGAUGUAAAUCAACUUUUGAACUUGCUACAGAGCUAGUUGUGGUUUUCGCCGGCA